rnacentral:lncRNA from 1 species
AUUUACACAGACCUGUCACUAGAUGGGGGCCCUGAGCUUUAUACUGUGGAAAACGUACUGUAAUAGACGAAACAGUAGUUUGUGGUAAACCUUUUUGAGAAGAUGGUCUAUUACUCUAAUGAAACCGUAAAGUCCAUCAUUUUUUCAUUUCAAAAACUGUCAAAUGCUAUUGCUAAUUAAUUAAAACAUAUGUUUUAUAAAAAGGCACUAUAUACACAACUGCGUAGGUAAGUCUUCACUCGUUAACCGGUCAACGAACUAUAAUAAAUGAGGUUAUAAAAGGCAAUAGAAAAUGCUUCGUAUAUUACUUGCAUAAAACUGCAUCUUAAUUUUAAAAUGCAAUUAUUUUCAAAUAAUUUAAUUUUAAUAUUUAUUUGUUGCCACCAGCCCACAGUGUUACUGUCACAAACUGUUGCCUCCGUCUGCAGCCACAGGCCCGUCAACGGUGGCGCCUGUGGGCACGUGAGCUACUCGGUCAGACACUGCCCAUUCUUGGCUCCGGGAGGGAGAGAGAGAGAACCAGUACCAAUCGUCUGGUGCCCCCUUCGUUGUGUCUGUGCCAAGCAUUCAUCCUGUCUCGAAGGGACCAGCAACCAAGGGACCAGGAAAUCCAAUAGAUCCUCUCAGCUGCUCUGCAGACUUAAGGGGCAUUUAUUUUGGAGAUGUCGACAGAGAAAGCGUUUACCUCCGAUGAGGUCUUGCAGACAAAGUCCACGAUCACAGACAGACACGGACGACAGACGGCCGCGACUGGAUGGGUUUCACCUCCGUCGUCCCAAAACAGUUUUCGCCGUUCAGGAAGACUUAGACGCUUGAAGAUGUCUGGUGCUAAAGCAGCGUGGAUGCUGUCCUUGGGGCUGAGGAGACAGCUGAGUCAGCCACUCGCCGACUGUCAUCUCCUCGUCAGCGAUCGCGUCGUCCUCUCAGAGCAACAGUCUGACUUCAUUUACUGUAAAAAAGCACUGCUUUCUGCUGUAGCAGGACAAUUAGUUAUGGAAGUAACGUCGUAUUUGAUUUGGACUCUGUCAGGGUGAGGUAGUAGGUUGUAUAGUUUGGUGGGUGGGAUCACACCCCGCUCAGGUGAUAACUAUACAGUCUAUUGCCUUCCCUGAGGAGCUCAUAUUCUCAAGGCAAGUCAACCUUUAUUCUCAGAUAUUACUCAUUACAAUACAAAAGUUUAAGUACUGUAUCUGCUGUGUGUGCACUGAAGGACUGAUGCUGAAUUUAUUGAAUUUGUCUGCAAUGUACUCCAAUGAUUUAUAUAUUUUAAUAAAGUCAGACUUGCCUGAAAUAAGUUGCA